AUGGGACUAGAUAUCAUAGCAUACAUCAUACAUAGACCAACCCGCUGUAACCGAUGACAUCGAUGCCGCGUUAAGUGAGGAUGGACACCGCCAAAAGACCAAAACGAGCUUUUGCUCAAGCCGAGCUGGGUGUGUGACUCUCACAUCCGUGGGCAGAGUUAGAAUUUUUCUUAGUGCGGUAGGUAGAGCUGCUUUUCACGAACAGAAAGUGAAAAAAGACUCCCCUUUUGAACUCUACAGCAAAAGAAGGGGGUAUUCUUGAGCAAGCACACCAUAUAGCUACGUGAGCG
rnacentral:misc_RNA from 1 species